UUUUUGUAAAAGGGUCCAGCCUUCCUUCUCCUCCCUCCUCUGUCUGCCUGUCAUUCCUCCCUCCACCCAGUUCAUUGUAUUCCUGCUGAGUUAUCCCCCCCCAGGCACACCCCAGAGUCUGCUUGUCUCUCAGAGACCUCUCCCUUUCACCUAGAAAGUUCCAUCCAGGGCUUCGAGUGAUAAGCUGGUCUCCGGGGUCCCCUCCCUCCCUCCUACCUCAUUGGAAGUUUCCCCUGUAUGUCACCCCUGUUACCACCCCCAAGUGUUAUCCCAUUGUUUGGCUGCUGUUUCCUCCCCUUGUUACCACCCCCCUUUAAGAAAGCAGGGCACACGGCGCCCGUUGCCUUUUGGAGCUUAUCUUCUUCGAGCCAAUAAACUCGGAAUUCUGAUACCUCCCGAAGGACAGCUCCUUGCUUUUGUCAAAGUCCCUCUGCGUGUCUUUCAGUCUGGUGGCUUUGACUUCCCACAGGCCACACCUCGUGCCCACAGUGGCACAAGAGAGUGGCCUUUGCUGCCACAGUGCUACAGGUUCUGGGCUAGCCAAGACUUGGCUGCAUAGCGACAGCCCUGGUGGCUCAGCAGUAGACUUCUCACCUGCCACGCUGGCAACCUAGGUUUGAAUCCUGGCAAAGCCACUACUGCUAUCAAGACUUGGGAGGCACAGUGACAUUGUGUCUUCUUAUAACUUGCUAUAAUUAUUUUUCAGUUUAGUGGUUUACCUAUAAACAUGCAUCCAGCAGGACCAUUCAACUCCAUAGGCAGGAGAGCUGACAAGCAAUUGUGUGUAGAAAAAUCUGUGUUUGUGUGGAAGAACUGAUGGGACAUGCAAUGUUGUGAAAAGUUAAACUGCAAAAUCAAAAUCUGACUGUCUUUAAACAGAAAUUUGCUCUCUGCAAGAGCUCACUAGAUUUCACAUGUGGACAGUGGUAUCUAUUUGCUCGUGUUCAUUGCUCUAAACUGCCAUCCAACAAGAGUUGAUGUGGUCCACGCUCAACUCAGUAUCACUGCAGCUUUCUGAUAAACUGUGGUGGAAGUAAGCAUAUUUUAAAUCUCUUGAGUAUCUCUUGCACUUGCUGCUGUGUAUAGACUUAAACUGUGCUCUUGACAGCUUCAGUCUGCAGCAGACACUAUGCCAGAAGAGUUUAGAAGAAGACGGUCACUUUUUCACCCACAAGUUAGUACCCAUGAUAUUUUUUUGCUACAAAAUUUAUUAAAAAAUUAACACUUAACCAAAUAACCAAUAGCAUCUUGCUUAUCUUUCCAACGUAGAAUUACAGAAUUAGUCGCCUUAAAAAAGAUCUCUGUACAUCAUGUGGUCCAAUCGUCUGCCUAGAGCAGAAUGAACUCAUGGAAUCACAUGAUACUCUAAAUUAGAAGGGACCACAAGGAUCACCAUAUCCAACCCUUCAGUGAAUGGCCUGUACAGGGAUUAAAUCCACAACCCUGGUGUUAUUAGCACUAUGCACUAACCAACGGAGCUAGAUGAGGCUACCAGCACAUCAUGAAAAGGUAUUAUUUAGCUACCACUGUGACCAGAAAUUUUGAGUUUCUAGCUCUGAGCUGCUUUAGUGACAGUGUGCUAAAUUAGUCACUGAGUAGUAGCAUCAAGCGGCUGAUUUAUCAGCUUUACAAAGUUGCAAGUAAUAUUUUAAAAUAAAAUACUGAUACAAAACCCCUGGAAACUACUCUUGCAUUGGUUCCAUGAGUAUGUGCUUUCCCUGAGGUGACACAACGUACUGGUGCAGGUAACGCUGUGUAUGUGGAGCACUGUGUGGCAGCACCUAACUGGCAGAGCUCUUUUGGACAAAAACUAUGCUCCUACUGAAUGUGAUAAACUAUUUUCAAGCUCUCUCUGAAGCCAGUAUAUGGAAAAUAUUGCAAGCCUUAUGUUGGAAAGCUUUUGGUUUUUUUCCUUCCUGAGUAGGGGAUCUUAUUGUGAGUUUGGAAAGUCAUGCCUCUGCCACUAACUCUGGUGGUCUGAAAGAAGGAAGACCCUGCCAAUCUUUGUGAAGCUGCUUUUCACUAUGUCAAGUAGAUGGGUGUGGUAAAUUAAAAUAAAAAUCUGAAAAACAAAAGACAGGCUUAAGAAGUUGUUUAAUAGAAGUAAGAGCUCCACUAAUUAUCUCUGAAGCUACACAGAGGGAGCCUGACACUGGAUAAGUCUUUUUAACUGUUAGAAGGCAAAAAAAUAAUUGCAGGCCCAGUCACCAGCUGAGGUCAUUUAUUUAUGGGGAAACUGUGCUAUGGUGCUUCAUAGCUUAUAUGGCUUUACAUAGCUAGACUUCUAACAUGAUAUUUCUUAUGUUCUUAAAAGGAGACCAUACUCCAAAAAGGUAAAAUUGAAAUUCUCUUGUGGGACGUGGUGGCACUCUUCACUGAAAGCAAGUAGUCUGAUUUCUUUUGCUGCUGUGCAUCCUGGUGGCAUUUUUAAAGCUGUUCAGUUCAGUAAUACAGGUAUUGCAUGUGAGUUCCUCAUUUGUCUAAUAAUGUGAAAGGCAGAACAAAAUGUGGUUUGCUAGGACUGAUGCAACUUGUGAAAUGGUACAGAUGGAAUGUUGAGCUGCUCCUUUUUUUUGUGCAAGACUUUCAGAUUCCUCCUGUAAUGACAGCAAGCAGAGAGUGAACCUGCCUUUACAUGAGGACUAAUGAUCCUUGCUUUCUUUUCUUGUUUAGGUCUCUCAGUCUUGGGAUGAAUUGCAACACAGAUGACACAACCAACCAUAGUUACAUUGAUCUUUGGUAAAGGUAGCAGCUUGUUUGAGGCAAACCAUUUAUUUUUGCUUGCCAUGUUCUGCAGUUAUAAAGUUUAGGCAGCUGUAUCAGUGGUGCAAAGUUUUUGGAAUAUAAUGAAAACUGAUUUUUGAUGUGCUGGUGUGAGAAGUCUUGAUGGAAGAGACUACUUCAGACUAUUUGUAGUGGAAUUGGAAUGUGCCAGGAUUGUAGAUUAUAAAACUUGAACUGCAAGCUGUAAGAGUAGACAUUGUGUUUGUUACUGUGACCUCAACUACUGGAGCCAGAGAACUGUCAGGACUCUUUAGGGAAAGCCUGUGGAAAGACAAGAACAGGGCAGGAGUAUCCUGUCCACUAUCACAGCUUCCUUCCAGCAAUGAGGUCACAGUCAGAGUACAUGUUUUUGGCUAUGUCUAGGAUUAGUGAAUAUUGGCUAUUACAAAAUCUUUGCUGAAGUUGAGAAGGGAAAGAAGGGUCCUGCACAGUAGGAUAUCGCUUAAGUAGUACACCUUAAAUAAGCAUUUGGGAAUAUGAUGUUGCUAUGUAUUUCAGGUUUGGUUUGAAGUUUAGCUAAUCUCUUAUUCUACUAAGUCAAUUUUGAAAUAGGUAAGUUUCUCACAGCAAUAAAAUUCAUUUUUUAUCUAUGGUGUUAUUUUGGAGGAUAUAUGAAGAGGUUCUGACUUCUCAGUAGCUCAAAGGUGUGUUUGUUUUGGUAGCAAUUUGCUUGCAGUGUUUUAUGAUGGUGCAAUGACAGAAAUUGGUUGGUCUAUCAGUACAAGCCUUUUACGACUGAGAUCAUAUUCCACCGACUGACUUGCAUGAAAUAAAAAUGUUAAUUUAUGUUUUGUGGAAAAGCACAUGAAGCCAAAAUUGCUAUUUGCAACAUCUGGAGAGAAUAUUUACUGCACUUGGUUCAAUCCAUUCAUCUGUUGGGAUAGAGCUCAUUGAUGGGAAAGGAGAAGGUGGAAGGUAGCACAGGAGCAUUUAUUUUCCUCUCUGGACUUCCUCUUCCUUGGUAAAGACGUUUGAUAUAUCAGUGUAGAGCUGAUUAAAUUAUUCCCAGAGAUUUAACAUCUGUAUAACUUGACCAGCUCAAAUGAUUGGAGCAAAGAGGCUGAACAAGAAACCCCAGCUCUAGUGUUUAUUUCACACAAUCUGUUACUGGGAGACUGGGGAGAAAGUUAUAGAAAGCUUUGUAUUCUCUGUACAUCCUUAUUGUGAAUAUCGGACAAUGUUCUAGCAUAGAGAAAUAUGCAGCAUUAUGAGAAACUAAUUAAAAAUUGUUUACUGAUUGUUGUCCAGUGCAGGUGGUCUAAAAUUACUGUGGAAAGUGAGGGGGUAAAAUUGAAAUGUUCCUGUUUUGUUAAAAGUUUGUUUUCAGUCCUUUGUAUUUUUAUUUUCAAAGAAGUUAUUGCCAUUCAUUUACACCAUAAAUAGUUUAACAAAUGGCUUUUUUUCUGCAAAAGGAAACUGAGAUGGGCUCUUAAUGAUUGUUGAAAAAUUCAUUUGAAUAAAAGUAAAACAUUAGGCUAAUUUAAAGUGGAUACUUAAAGAAACAAGCCUUAAAGCUACCAACCCUUUUAGAAAAGUAAAAUUUCAAACCCUCUUAUUUGAAUGUUCCUGUUUAAUGAAAGACUUUCCCAUUGUAAAAUGCAACUGUAGAAGCGUAGCUGGAAACCAGGGGGUAAUAUAUACAGACAGUUAUCCGGAUGGAAUGGCAGGAUUUGUUGAUCACUUCGUAAAUGUAUCAGAUUUUAAAUAAAUAUUUUAUAUUAUCUACACUUGUGACAGCUCUCUGCUGAUGUAUCUGGGGAAUGGAAGCUCCUCAUUCAUCACAAUUUUUUGAGAGGUUCUCAACUACUAUGGCAGAUAAUGUGAACCUAUUACAUAUCUAUACGGGAACCUGGAUCUGCUUAUAGAAUGGUUGAAAGAAGCCCUGGCAAGGGGCCAUGCUGCAGGCAGCAGAGGAAGGCACAACCACUCAGAGACAUCUUCUGGUCCACCAUGAGGGUAAAAAAGCCUUCCUUCCCAUAGCUGCAGGGCACAAGAGGUGUCUUUGUGGUGUCUUUGUGUGUCUUUGGCUAUAUUUCAGGCAGAAAAGUAGCCAAAAUGGAUCAGAGGAGCCCUGACAAGUGGUCAUGUUCCCUGCUACAGAGGAAAGCAGAAAACCUCUGGAGUCCAGUGCCCAUCUGCCUCAGGGGAAGAUUCCUUCCUGACCCCAGGACUGGUGAUCAGCUUUUCCCUUAGCAUGUGACCAAGACCUGCCUCCUCAUCCCACAGCCUUCUGAUCAUGCCUCCCAGGAAAUGCCCAAGCCCUAUUCUCUCUCAAAUUGAAGCCAUCUCAGGGCCUUCCAAGAUGGACCAACUGCCAUAGUCCUGAUCAAACUUGGGGGCAAGAAUCCUUUCCAAGCAUAGUGGGUGCUACAAAGUGCUGAGACCCCUGGAAAACAAUUCUGGAUCCCAUUUCUUAUGGCUGCUGCCUGUGGCUCCACGGGGUAUGAGAACAACAAGCUCUGCAGUUCUCCUCAGACAGGAGCAUUCAAGAAAGGACAUUCAAGAAGGCAUUCCCUUGGUCUUGCCAUUGCUACCCCACUGAAAAGGUGCCACAGUCCCUGGCACAUCCAGGGGUUGGUGGUUCUCAUCUCUGGAGGGGCUUGCCUGAAGCAGAUUUCCGUCCACCAGAUGGGCCUUGAAAUGGCUCCUCCAGGAGCUGGCUUUGCAGUGGAGAACCUCCAACAGCCCCCUGCAGUCUUCCCCUGUUAGCCUCCAUCAAGUAAUUCCACUAGCUCCUCAAGGACUUUUUCUCUGAUGUUUACUCCGUGCCCCCUGGCCUGCUCUGGCAGCACAAGGUGGGGGGAUGCUCCCUUUUAUCCUGUCCCUAUGGUUUAAUCAAUUGGCUGCAUCAAUUGGCUCCUAUUUUUUGGAUACAUAAAUAUUUAUUUUUUUUAGAAACAAUAGACAAUAGACUGUCUUUCUUCUUUUCCUACAUCAAUUUCAUUACAUAUGUUUUCCAGGCAGUGCCAUUGCUAAUUCAGCAGGGCAAAUGUGCAUGUUACAAAAGCUCUUGUAAAAGAAAAAUUAUUGCAAUUUCACAUUUCUGCAGAAGGCAAACACAAUCAAAUCCCUGCAACUGCCCUAUGUUUGCUCUGUUGUUCUCAAACUAUAAAUGUUUUAUGGAAACACUGGGAUUUAUAUGUACACUCAUCCUUUAAGGAGAAGAAUAGGUCUCAGUCUCCUGGCAUCUUGCUUUACUAAAGAUGUGAAGCCUCGGGCUUUUCUACUCCUGCUGCAUGUUGCUUUCUGCAGCAUGGGAGAGCACUCACACCAGAGCUCCACUGAAUUCCAAGGCAGGUGGACAGCUGAUGGGUAUUGCUUUGCCACUAAGCAGACUGCUUUAAAAUAACAAAUACUAAUGUAGUUAUUGCAGUAUGUUUUCGAUUAAAAAAAAAGUCCAUUUUGCAUUCCUCAUUCCAAAACCAUGUUUAGUAAUGCCAAAAGAAGCAAUGAAGUGAUCUUUCUAACAUAGAAAUUUGUUAGAAACCACAAGAAAAUCUACUAGUGUUGAAAAAUUAGUGUCCAAAUUUUUGAUUUUUAAAUACUAAUACAAAUCACCUCAUUACUAGAAGACUGACCUGUAUGUCAAAGAAUCCAUAGGUGAGAGUGAAAUCCAUACCAUAAUUUAAGUGGCCAUGAUCCUAUUGUGCCUUCUGACUUGGAAAUAUUGCAGUGGUUUGCCUUUUGGGGAGAUUGUUUCCUUUUGCUUUUUGUAAUUUUUUUUCUCUUUGUUGAAAAGCUCUUGAGACAACUAUUAAAUAAAGGCAAACAGCUAAUAGUCCUUUUCUUCCAUCAAAGUAUGGAAAAACAUAUCCAUCUGCCUUUCUAUGAAUUGUAAGGGAAGGAGAUGAAAGUUGUGCUAAAUAUCUGAGGAAUGAUGAAGUAGGGCAAACUGCACUCUGAUUUUCUGUAUCAGCUGCAUCACUCAUUCAUCACUAUUACAGUUUGCAGCUGGGGAUAUUGCAGGGUUCUGACAUGAACUGAAUUGGGAAACUACACUACUGCAUAGUGUAGUUAAGAGGCUCUGCAGUUACUUCAUGUUGUAAAUGCUUCUCUGUUGCUGUUAAGAAAACCAGUACCAUUUUAAACAAAAAGCUUGAGUGACUUCUGACUAUUAGAAAGGUCUAGACUGAUGAUCUGCAGUUGCAAAUUUUGAUUUUGUUUUUUAAAAGUUCCUGGGAGUGUCACAUGCAUGGGAAGCUUCUUUACAUUUUCCUAACCAUUUUUUUUUUCAGUGCACACACUGGGGUAAGUAGAAUUUUAAUUCUAAGAGAGAGGGAAUAGUGCCUGUUUGCUGUCCCCCACUAAAACUGUCACCAGUAGUUCAAAUAUUCCAGCAUUUUAAUUUUUUCCUUGCUUUCCCCUUUUCUUUCCACCUCUUUUGCAUGUAUCCACUGCUUUGACUGGCAUUUUUUUUUCUAUUUGCUUUUGUUUCCUAAAUAUUUGCUUUUUUGCUUAGUCUUAUGCCCUGCCUGAACAUUUAACUUUCAGUUCUGAAUUCCAGCCUCUUCUGGUUUGUCCUGGUAGAAUCCUGAUCAUCACACUUCGAUACUGACAGAAGAGUGUAGCUAUUGAUCUAGGAAGUGGUAUAACUAUAUUGGAUGUAAGCCCCAUCUCUUCUGAGAAAAGUAGAAAGGCUGAAAUGUGGCGAUGUCCCUUCAGGCCACUAGUGUGCAGUAGCUUCAUUGCAAUGCAACAGCAGUGUAUAGAAUAUAUGAUGUAUGGUUUUCAUAGAAAGAGAAUAUAUGAUGUAUGGUUUUCAUAGAGAGAAAUACCCUGAAAGGACAGAGGUCUUGGAAACCUUUCAAGUUAAGUUUUGAAUUUUGGGGGUUUAGAAAAAUUUAUAAAUUCCUUCCCUAAAAUUCAGAGAUUUAACAUUGUAGUUUCAGAUUGCAUGGUAUAUAUUAUGUUUUAGUAGCUGAGUUUUACUGAGAAAACUGCUGUGAUGCCUUUUCAGGGAACUUUUCUAUCCCUAUGCUACUGCAAAUAAUUGCUGUCUGAACCAGACAUGACUGAGAAAACCCAGCAGGACUCAGGAUUCUGAGUAGGCUUCAGUGCAGUAAUUUUAUGAUUUAUAGGAUAAGCUAUUAGUGCUGUUUUGAGCAUAACAGGAUCCUAUUUUUUAGACAGCAUAGCAUGUGUAGCUUUUGUCAAUUAAAUAUAGGAAGUGUUUACAGUGAUGGUCUCACUGUACUAGCUAGUGGGAAAGGAAGAGAAUUUUUUCUGUCUUGGACAUGGGGUAUGUGCUCUACUAAAUUAAUUACAUGUAUUAAGCUGUUAGUUGUCUUUCAACCAAGGCUUCUGUUCAGUCUAGCACUUGCAAACCAAGAGUAUCCACUUUUCCCUUUUCCCAAGUCUUGCAAGUAACCACAAAUAGACUGUUUGCCUUGAAUUUGACAUAGUUACUAGUGAUAAAUUAUCUUUCACAUAAAGAUAUGGGGGGGAGGAGGUGAACAUAAUUACUCCUGUGCUGUGGUUAUGACCCUUAGAGUGAGCUAAGUAGAAAGGACCUGAGGGCUUAGAAGCCUCAGAGAAGGUCAGGUGGCAAACUUGACUAUGAACCACACUCUCUUUUCAUGACACUACUUCUCCUUGACCAGGAAAGCCCAAUUAAUUUUAGAAAUAUUAUUUUUUUCUCUUUUCUGUCUGUGUAAGAACAAUGUUCCUUUUUUAUAAAGUUUUAAGUUUUAUUUUCCUGACUUAAAUUAGAGGUUAGGUUUACAAUAACAAAAAGCUGCUUGGUUUUUACCAUAGUUAUAAAUAUAGAAAUUACUAUUCAUAAAUCUAAAUAAGGCUGUAAAAUUCAACCUGAUUGUAAAAAAGAAUGGAAGGGAUUUUUUAGAUUAUGCAUAUGGACUUCAUUCAUCCCCUAGUCCAUAAAAAAGCUCAGCUGAGCUUUUUUAAAGGAUUCAGGUCCACAAUUCCAUGUUUUUGCAUUGGAUACCUUCAGUGGGACACACAAUGAGAAGCUGCCUACUUGGCAGUUACUGGGGAUCAGGGUACUCAUGAGGAAGGCCCUAGUAUUGAUUUUAAUGACUGUUGGCAGAAGGCAUUAUUAAUACUUUUAAAAGUUUGCUGAUAGCUACUCAAUGCAUGCCAAGAGGCUAAGAUGGGUUCACUCAAGUCUGGUACUGGGGACAUAUCUGUAUCUAUCACCAUUCUGCUGAAGAUAAUUGGAAAGAUAACUCAUUGGCAGUGAAGUCUAAAGUUAGGGCUUCAUACUUUUUCCUGCUUGAGAAGGGGCUUCUGCUGCCUUCUACUAUACCCAAAAUGCUCUUUUCUCUAGCAAAAAUGUGAAA